rnacentral:rRNA from 1 species
GACGAACGCUGGCGGCGUGCUUAACACAUGCAAGUCGAACGGAAAGGCCCUGCUUUUGUGGGGUGCUCGAGUGGCGAACGGGUGAGUAACACGUGAGUAACCUGCCCUUGACUUUGGGAUAACUUCAGGAAACUGGGGCUAAUACCGGAUAGGAGCACCUGCUGCAUGGUGGGGGUUGGAAAGUUUCGGCGGUUGGGGAUGGACUCGCGGCUUAUCAGCUUGUUGGUGGGGUAGUGGCUUACCAAGGCUUUGACGGGUAGCCGGCCUGAGAGGGUGACCGGCCACAUUGGGACUGAGAUACGGCCCAGACUCCUACGGGAGGCAGCAGUGGGGAAUAUUGCACAAUGGGCGGAAGCCUGAUGCAGCAACGCCGCGUGCGGGAUGACGGCCUUCGGGUUGUAAACCGCUUUCGCCUGUGACGAAGCGUGAGUGACGGUAAUUGGUAAAGAAGCACCGGCUAACUACGUG